UUGUAAUUUACGCACCUGUGAUCUAUAAAUCUCUAAUUAACUUAAAAUUGACGGCACUUGAACGUGCCUUACAAUCAGCGAUUUCSCCUUAUAGAAUGCUAGCACAAAUGMGGGUUUAAUCAGGAAUAGCCAUGGACCAAAAGAGAAAAGCAAACUUUUUGGAAGACGAGAUCACGGUGAUGGUAGAGGAGAUUGAAGACAGGCAACACGUAUUAUUCGGUGGACUAAAUAGGGGGUUGACAAACAAAGUCAAACAGGUAGCUUGGGAGUGUGUCGCCGCUGCAGUGAACGAGGUGGGACAGCAAGACAGAACUGUGGCUGAUGUGAAUAAGAAAUGGUCUGACCUUUAAACUGCAAGGGAAAAAAGAAUAUCCAUACAUAACCGUAGCACUAAGGUAACGGGAGGGGGGCCUGGCAUGCCGGAGCUCUCCCAAAUGGACCAACGCAUCGGGGCAAUCAUCGGGGAAAGCGCAUACACUGGCACAUGCUCCGAUGGCGACAGUGGAUGUUUAAAAAAUKCAGUAACUUCGGGAAACUGUGAAGUCAGUCGCACGAAACCCCUACGACUGCAUCACUGCAUCACGAAAUGGGGGAAGCUGCGUUGCAGCCCGUGCGCCAGGUGAGGGUGCCCCCUCCACCAAGGGAAGCUGUGUUACAGCCCGUGCACCCUCCACCCAGGGAUAAAGUGCGUGAGGCUCCCAAAUCAGCAGGUGCCAGGAGUGAGGGGUUAGGUUUGUCCACAGGUGUCGAGGGUCCAUCCACRUUUGCGUCCACGUCUACAGUUUGCGUGUUGACCGCCUCAGUCCUGCAAACCCAGAACGAGUUGAACAUAUUGGUUGGGCAGAUUGUGACUGAACUCAGAACAAUAGGCAGGGUUUUGAAUCAUUUACAAAACGCAAUUGUUGAACGUU